GAUUAGUGGCGAACGGGUGAGUAACACGUGGGCAAUCUGCCCUGCACUCUGGGACAAGCCCUGGAAACGGGGUCUAAUACCGGAUACUGACCCGCUCAGGCAUCUGCGCGGUUCGAAAGCUCCGGCGGUGCAGGAUGAGCCCGCGGCCUAUCAGCUUGUUGGUGAGGUAACGGCUCACCAAGGCGACGACGGGUAGCCGGCCUGAGAGGGCGACCGGCCACACUGGGACUGAGACACGGCCCAGACUCCUACGGGAGGCAGCAGUGGGGAAUAUUGCACAAUGGGCGAAAGCCUGAUGCAGCGACGCCGCGUGAGGGAUGACGGCCUUCGGGUUGUAAACUCUUUCAGCAGGGAAGAAGCGAAAGUGACGGUACCUGCAGAAGAAGCGCCGGCUAACUACGUGCCAGCAGCCGCGUAA
rnacentral:rRNA from 1 species